rnacentral:rRNA from 1 species
GACGUAGGGGGCCAGCGUUGUUCGGAAUUACUGGGUGUAAAGGGUUCGUAGGCGGUGUGGCAAGUCGGGAGUGAAAUCUCUGGGCUCAACCCAGAGUCUGCUUCCGAAACUGCUGUGCUUGAGUGUGGGAGAGGCGCGCGGAAUUGCAGGUGUAGCGGUGAAAUGCGUAGAUAUCUGCAGGAACACCCGUGGCGAAAGCGGCGCGCUGGACCACUACUGACGCUGAGGAACGAAAGCUAGGGGAGCAAACAGG